CCUACGGGUGGCAGCAGUGAGGAAUAUUGGUCAAUGGACGCAAGUCUGAACCAGCCAUGCCGCGUGCAGGAAGACGGCUCUAUGAGUUGUAAACUGCUUUUGUACGAGGGUAAACGCAGAUACGCGUAUCUGUCUGAAAGUAUCGGAUGAAUAAGGAUCGGCUAACUCCGUGCUAGCAGCCGCGGUAAUAAGGAGGAUUAAAGCGUUAUCCGGAUUUAGUGGGUUUAAAGGGUGCGUAGGCGGUCGGAUAAGUUAGAGGUGAAAUCCCGAGGCUCAACUUCGGAAUUGCCUCUGAUACUGUUCGGCUAGAGAGUAGUUGCGGUAGGCGGAAUGUAUGGUGUAGCGGUGAAAUGCUUAGAGAUCAUACAGAACACCGAUUGCGAAGGCAGCUUACCAAGCUACUUCUGACGUUGAGGCACGAAAGCGUGGGGAGCAAACAGGAUUAGAUACCCCAGUAGUC
rnacentral:rRNA from 1 species